CAACGUAGGGUAAUCUACCUUUUGAGUGGGGAAUAACUUAGGGAAACUUAAGCUAAUACCGCAUAAUGCAGCGGCAUCUAUGAUGACAGUUGUUAAAGGAGCAAUCCGCUUAAAGAGGAGCCUGCGGCAGAUCAGCUAGUUGGUAAGGUAAUGGCUUACCAAGGCUACGAUCUGUAACCGACCUGAGAGGGUGGUCGGUCACACUGGCACUGAAUAACGGGUCAG
rnacentral:rRNA from 1 species